CCCUGUAACUCAGUUGGUAGAGCAUGGUGUUUGCAACACCAGGGUUGUGGGUUCGAUUCCCACAGGGG
rnacentral:tRNA from 1 species